rnacentral:rRNA from 1 species
AACGAACGCUGGCGGCAUGCCUAACACAUGCAAGUCGAACGAGACCUUCGGGUCUAGUGGCGCACGGGUGCGUAACGCGUGGGAACCUGCCCUUAGGUUCGGAAUAACUCCCCGAAAGGGGUGCUAAUACCGGAUAAUGUCUUCGGACCAAAGAUUUAUCGCCUUUGGAUGGGCCCGCGUUGGAUUAGCUAGUUGGUAGGGUAAAAGCCUACCAAGGCGACGAUCCAUAGCUGGUCUGAGAGGAUGAUCAGCCACACUGGGACUGGGACACGGCCCAGACUCCUACGGGAAGCAGCAGUGGGGAAUAUUGGACAAUGGGCGAAAGCCUGAUCCAGCAAGGCCGCGUGAGUGAUGAAGGCCUUAGGGUUGUAAAGCUCUUCUACCCGGGAUGAUAAUGACAGUACCGGGAGAAUAAGCUCCGGCUAACUCCGUG